rnacentral:misc_RNA from 1 species
CAUUCUCAAACCUUCUUGGUUUCUUGACCAGGGAGGCUUUGGACUUUGGAGGCUUUUGCUGGCUUUCCUUUGUUGGAGCCAGCUCCUCUGAAAUGGAUUAGUGGGGUCUGCUUUACCGAUCCUUGACGUGAUAAGAUGUUUUCUACGUCUUGGGUUUUGCACUCCUGCUUCUAACUGUCUUGCAGAAAGACAAAUGGUCAAGUGAUUGCCACUUGACCCACGAA